GAGAUUUUGUGGACCAGAUGAGGAAUUAACUCUUGUCAUUAAAAGCAACUGUGAUCUUGCCUUGCUUUGCGACCACAGCUUGGGACUCUUUGCGAUUUUCGGUUGUGUGAUUAGAGCACGUUUCCCAAAAGACUGGUUCUGUUGUUUAGCGCUUCGCCUCAAAGCGGGAACACAUGGGCUUCACUGACUGCCUGAAGCAGCAUGGGCCUGCAAAGCUCAAGAAAUCAACCAGGUCUCACAGGUGCAGCACAUCAGGUUUCCUUCCAUCUGCUAUUCACAUCCAUUCAUGGUCCAGUCAAGCCUCUAUUCCCUGACAUGACAGGCCAAACCAAUUUGUGCAGGAGAAACCGAUGGGACACAGGGGGGUUGGAUUCGCUCAGUGUCCCUCGGACAUGUCAGCACCUUUCCAGCAAAGAGAAGAACUCCAAUGAAGUGGGACUUGUCUGGAAGAGAAGCGUGGCGUCCGUGGGGUCAAGGAACUGGGCACUAUGGUCUCCACUUGAGUCUACACUCAUGAUUACCCUUUUUGAAAGGGAAAGAGGCGUGUCGAUACUAAUUAGCCACUUGAAACUCCAGCAAGCGGAUUCAUGGGCAGCUUACAUAAAAGUCGGGCGGAUGGAAGAGCUUACCGGAGCCGAAAGACCAGGAGAAAAUCAAAGCGAAAGCUGA
rnacentral:lncRNA from 1 species